rnacentral:rRNA from 1 species
UACGAGUGGUGCGAACGUUAUUCGGAAUCACUGGGCUUAAAGGGUGCGUAGGCUGCUGUAAAGGUCUGAUGUGAAAUACCACGGCUCAACCGUGGAACGGCAUUGGAAACCAUACAGCUUGAGUGAGAUAGAGGUAAGCGGAACAGAUGGUGGAGCGGUGAAAUGCGUUGAUAUCAUCUGGAACACCGGUGGCGAAAGCGGCUUACUGGGUCUUUACUGACGCUGAUGCACGAAAGCUAGGGGAGCAAACGGGAUUAGAUACCCCGGUAGUCCUAGCUGUAAACGAUGAGUACUAGUCCGUGGGGACCCCCACAUCCUCUCGGACGUAGCGAAAGUGUUAAGUACUCCGCCUGGGGAGUAUGGUCGCAAGGCUGAA